rnacentral:tRNA from 1 species
GGAGAGAUGGCCGAGUGGCUUAAAGCGAUGGAUUGCUAAUCCGUUGUACAUCUUUUUGUACCGAGGGUUCGAAUCCCUCUCUCUCCU